rnacentral:rRNA from 1 species
UACGAAGGGGGCUAGCGUUGCUCGGAAUUACUGGGCGUAAAGGGCUCGUAGGCGGCCAACUAAGUCAGACGUGAAAUCCCUCGGCUUAACCGGGGAACUGCGUCUGAUACUGGAUGGCUUGAGGUUGGGAGAGGGAUGCGGAAUUCCAGGUGUAGCGGUGAAAUGCGUAGAUAUCUGGAGGAACACCGGUGGCGAAGGCGGCAUCCUGGACCAAUUCUGACGCUGAGGAGCGAAAGCCAGGGGAGCAAAGCGGG